UACGUAGGGUGCAAGCGUUGUCCGGAAUUAUUGGGCGUAAAGAGCUCGUAGGCGGUUUGUCGCGUCUGCUGUGAAAACUCGGGGCUUAACCCCGGGCCUGCAGUGGGUACGGGCAGACUAGAGUGCGGUAGGGGAGACUGGAAUUCCUGGUGUAGCGGUGAAAUGCGCAGAUAUCAGGAGGAACACCGAUGGCGAAGGCAGGUCUCUGGGCAUUAACUGACGCUGAGGAGCGAAAGCCAGGGGAGCAAACGGG
rnacentral:rRNA from 1 species